rfam:Ruminococcaceae bacterium strain KHP2 genome assembly, contig: Ga0059115_103
AACCGCCGUAUGCCGAACGGCACGUACGGUGGUGUGAGAGGGGGAUUAAAUUCCUCCUACUCGAU